CUCAUUGAAGUUUUUUUUUUUGUAACAACACAAACACAAUCAAAUUAAAAUUCCAUUGCGAGCAUAAAAUCAAUCAAAUUAGUAUUAUUACGUUUAAUAACCAUUUGCGGAAGAGAUAUCUCAUUCCAGCAUCAUCGGCCGCUAGCUCGAUGCUCCACAGUGUCUAAGUGGGUAGCCACGGAAGCACCAUCAUGACUAUGCUUUCUGGUUGCAAUCCCUCUUGCCCCCUUUAUUAUGUUGGCUUGAUGGUGGUGCGCAGGAAAAUCCGAUGGUUCUUUGGUUCUGGAUAAAAAUUGCUUCGGACUUGGACUGUGGGUUCCUUAUACAAAUAUACAACAACAACAAAUACAGUGGAAGCAGAUGGAGCAACAUCGAAAAUAUUCGAAAAAAUAAAAAAAAAGAGUAACAAAAUUGUGUGACUUCCUUUUGGACGGCGAACAAAAAAAUAAGCAAAGAAGUCCAGCAUGAUCGCCCAGACCACCAGGCAGCAUUUACCAAAACUUAUACACACUCCCCGAGUACUGACGACGCGACGCAGGAGCUCUCGCCCCCAUAUUUUGUGACUAUACUACGACCAAAGACGACGAAGACCAAGUUGGUUAGUAUAUUUGCAGCUGAUGAUGAUGAUGGGGUCCCUUGGAGUAGUCAGAGCCACCACCUUCGAAGGUGAGAAAUGAGAUUUUAAUCGGACGUGUCCGAUUCCAAAUGAGCCUUAAUGGGUCCUCCAUUUAACACUUUACCACUGAUUCCAGCUGCCGU